GUUAACCUGGGUUGUACGCCAGUCGGUAAUGUCCCUGAGCCGAUAAUUUUUUUCUAGGGAGAUACAAAACAUACGGUGCGCAUGUCCGUCUUCGGAAAGCCUAAUGUGUGUUUGCGUUUCCCGCCUUGAACCAUUGGGUUCAAGGACCAAACUGACAGCGGCAACCUGGGGCUUUG
rnacentral:other from 1 species